rnacentral:lncRNA from 1 species
AUGAACAAUCAAUAUAUCCGUCGGGAAGUCUUUUGCUGUGAAACUUGUCAUGAGCUCAAAAGUUUCUGGGAAAAAGAAAUUAGCAAACAGACUUGUUACAGGGAACUGGAGGAAGAUCGUCAGGGAAGGAGCGCCCUGAGAAAGGAGCAGAUGCUUUUGAUUCCAUGUUCCAGAGUCAGAAAAAGAAGAACUGAAGAUACACUACAGUGGAUGAGGGUGAGAAACUCUAAAAUCAGCUGCAUUUCCCCAGAUCCAGCAGGCCAGCUAACACACAAAAAUGCUUAGAAUCAAAGAGCUACAUAAUCCACAUUUCCUACAAAAGAUGUUAGGGUUUUCUAAAUUCUCAUCUACUGGGUCUGCAUGCAUUAUUUGACAGUUAUCUGGAAUUUUCACCAGCACCACUUGCACAUCCGUGGUACAAUGUGUCUGUGCAAGAGCACAGAGUGCAAGUUCCUGGGAAAAUGGGCUUUUCAGGUUACCACAACCAGUGAUACCUGACCAGCUCAGGCAGAGAGGGGGCACAGCAGCAAACUAAAUAAGGUGACAAAAAAAUAAAUAAAUAAAUAAAUAAACAAAUAAAUAAAUAAAUAAAUAAAUAAAUAAAUAAAUAAAUAAAUAAAAAUAAGGAAGGUGACUUGCAGCUGUUUUGAAAAUACAGCAGUCCUUCUCCGAUUGACUCAUUUCACGCAGCAUAAUACCCUCCAGUUUCAUCAAACAUUAUAUGUUCUCAUUCAUUUAGGAAAUAUAUGUAAUAGUGAAAGGGAAUAGAGGGGAAGGGAGAAGAAAUGGAUAGGAAAUAUCAGAAAGGGAGACUAGAACAUAAAGACUCCUAACUCUGGGAAAUGAACUAGGGGUGUUGGAAGGGGAGGAGGGCGUGGGGUGGGGGUGAAUGGGUGACGGGCACUGAGGGGGGCACUUGAAGGGAUGAGCACUGGGUAUUAUUUGUAUGUUGGCAAAUUGAACACCAAUAAAAAAUAAAUUUAUUAUUAAAAAAUAAUAAUAAAAUAAAAUAAAAAUGAAAAUACAGCAGUCCACGU